AUGAUUGCUGCUUCCCUUCCACCCCAUUUUUGGGCUAAGGUUGUUUCCGCAUCCACCUAUCUCGUCAACAUUCAGCCAUCGACCGCUCUGCAGGGUGGCAUUCCUAUGGAGUGUCUCACUGGUCGCUCCCCAGACUACUCAGCGCUUCGUAUGUUUGGAUGCGUCUGCUAUGUUCUUCUUGCUCCCCGAGAACGCACCAAACUGACAGCUCAGUCGGUUGAGUGUGUUUUCCUUGGCUACAGCGAUGAGCACAAGGGCUAUCGAUGUUGGGAUCCAGUGGGUCGUCGCUUGCGCAUCUCGCGUGAUGUGACUUUUGACGAGUCUCGCUCUUACUACCCACGUCCUUCUUCCUCGAGUUUCUUUGUGGAUGACCUUUCUUUCCUUCUCCUUCCCGAUACACUUUGCUAUGUACCUCAUGUGUCACCUCUUCCUCCGGCACCUCUCAUUCCUUCUCAUUCACCACCGACCCCGUCUUCCCCAUCCUCCUCCUCCACCUCUCCCCCAUCCUCUCUUGUCCGUCGCCCUCUCUCACCGUUUCCUUUCCACUAUACUCGUCGCUCUCGUCUUGAGGAUGUCUCCUCUGACGAGCCUUCCACCUCUGGUGCACCUCCUCUCACACCUCCCCUGGUUCACAACCUCCAUGCUAGGCCUCACCCCCGCCUGAUCGCUACUCCCCUGAUCCGUACGGUCUCUCUGUUAUGA
rnacentral:rRNA from 1 species